rnacentral:lncRNA from 1 species
GUAAAUGACAUUUUUAGUAUAAUAGUGACCAAUAACAGCAAAUUGCUUCACCAUGACUUUUGUUAGUGAUGUUUACUGAUGAAAUAGCUGAUGCUGCAAUUAUUAAUCAUAAUCCUAAGUGUGUACUGGCCAAAUGAAGACAUCUAAUAAGAAUAACAUGGUAACAUCACUUGCACAACCCAAGAUUUGGUUACUGUUGAUAGUGAACAACAUUGUCAGCCUAAUAAUUCAAAAAGAAUAUUACAAUUGUGAAUUUUAUGAAAUAUAUUGUUUAUUGUUAAAAGAGAGAUUAUUUAUUAAAAACUGUCCUCUUGAGCAUAUCUUAAAAAAUGCAAACCUAUG